UUAGGGAGUUACCCCUUCAUGCUUCAAUCAAUUUUAGGGAUUAGAUUUCAACUGGAGAAAGUAAAACUGAACAAGCGCACUACUUGCAACGCUGUUGUGCGAGAUUCAAAAGAGUACAGAGAGCAUUUUAAGAGUGACUGGCAUAAAUAAAAAAUUGUGAAUUGGUAAUUAGUAUUGUGUUUAGUGUUGUGGGAUUUACCCUUUUGUUUUUUUUUUCUUCAGUUUUGUAUGUAUUGGAAUGAACAGAAAUGGGUGUUGACUGUUGAGUUUUGUGUAAUUAGUACUGUACUUAAAGUUGGAAGACAAAAAUUUGAGACCCCUUUUUGCUUUUUUAUCAGUUUUUUAUGUAUUGGAAUGAAGAUAAAUAGGUGUUGGCUAUUGAGUAUUUGUAUAAUUAGUAUUGUGUUUAGAGUUGGAAGACAAAAAUUUGAGAAAUCCUUUUGCUUUUUUGCCAGAUUUGCAUGUUGUUGUUGUUGCUUUUUAGUUGUGAUGGUUUUUGGGGAAUUUCUUUUUGCUAAAAUCUUUGAAUAUGAACAGGGACCAAUUUUCAUGCUUACAGUAGUUGGAAAUGAUACAUAAAAUCUAAGACCCCCUUUACUUUUUCACUAUGUAUUAGAAUGAAUAGUAAUGGAUGUUGAGAGUUUUGUACAAACUUAGGGGAAAAACUAGGCAACUCCCUCCACUUACAACUGAAGCUGGUCUAUUUAAGAUUGGAACAAUUUUCCUUGGUGACAGACUUGUAUUUUACAUGAUUGAAGACAUGCAUAUUCUAUUUAGCAAGACUUGAAGGAAAACAUAAUUUAGUGAAAUGCUGGUAAAGAAAUUUUGCUGAUGAGUCUGGUUAUUUUGCAUUUUAUUAUAUUAGAUUCAGUCGUUCAUAUCUAUAGCCUUAGCUUGCCUUUUGAAUUUCUUCGUUCUCGUUUGUACCUAAUCUAAAUGAUAGAGUUUCCAGUUAAGCAUUGUGUGUUUUAACUCAACUUGAUCUGCCCUUUAAAAGGCAUCUCGAUUGUUUUUGAAUCUUUGUUUUUCACCUCCUUUGUUCUUGGUGUUUGGUUGUUUUUUCCGUUGUAACUUUGCAGUGUUAAUAUUCUAUAGUACGAUUUUACCUAAACUUUAUUUUUAGCCACAUUUUAGAGGUUUAAAGGAAGUCAACUGAUGGCAAACUCUAUAUGACUUUUUUUCAGAAUUAAUACACAGGUGUUUGUUAAGGCUCUUCAAAGUUAGUUCCUAGACAAUAUUGAUUUUGUUGGUAAGACUAUUUACCAAUAUUAUUCCCUCUUUAUGACAGAAAUGCCUGUUUAGGUUAUCAUUUACUUUCUAAUGUACGUAGCACUUAUUUGCCUUCUUUGAAACUGAUCACUUGAUGUAGUGGUGUCAAGUGAACUUGUAAGAAUCUAUUCUUAUAUAUUGAUCAAUGACUUCUUAUAUAGUACUAUGCACUAUGAUAUUGUAAUAAUUCUUGUACUAUUGAUCUCAUUUAGUAAGAACUUAUACGGUGACUUCUUAUAUAGUAUUAAUGUUAAAGUAAGUUCUGGCGGUAUCUUGUGGACGGGAACGUAGGCAAGAAAUGGAGCUAUCUCUUAGUUUUUUUUUUUUUUUUUACAUUUUUGUUUGCUUGGCAUACAGAAAAGAAGGCAUUCUGAUGUCAACCUGUUAUUCCAUUUAAAAGGCAUUCCGAUGUCUUAUUAAAUAAAUAAUUCUAAUUGUCGUAUUUAUUUCAAUAUUAACUAGGGAUAUGGAUAAUCUCGAGAGUGGUUGUACAAAAGGUUGGAUGGCCGAGGGGGUGUUUAUUCCAGUUUCAUAACUGGCUGUUGAAAAUGGUUGAGAUCUAACACCAAGUGAGAUGCAUUUGCACGUCCAUACACAUGAUCAUGAUGGAACACCUUUUGUUGGUGAGAAAUCCCGAAUCAUACAUGAAAAAUACCAGGAAAUAUUACAACAACAAACACAGACUCAGUCUGAUAUUGAUCAGUGUCAAUCAUAUUACCAAGCCGCGGGAGGAGAAAAGAAAAGAAGAGUAUGGUCUUGGAUCUCAAGCAAAAUGCUAAUAUGACCAGAAUCUUCGUGACUCUUUUGGAUUCGAUGCUACAUCUUCAGCGGCACCUCAGAAUGCUCAAUCAACACUAAUAGGAAAUCUGGAUGAGUUUGUGAUGCGUUUAAUUCCUAUAUUGACAGAAUGUAUAGUUCCUAUAAUUAUUGAGCGGGUGCGCGGAUUAGCUUCUUCAUCCUCGCAUCAGCCAAAUACUGAUCUUACCAGCCACCCAUCAGUUGUGACACCUACAGUUCCUACCGCUCCUACUGCUGCUAACGUUGAUGAGGUCCAUUCAUUGGGUUCUGAUGAUUAAAGAAUAAACUCCACUGCCCCCAGUAGAGGAACCCGAACUCAGAAGUAAUGGCUGAUGUUGAUACCCCAUAACCUACUACCCAAUUUAAUUAGAAGAUGUAGGAGAAUUAAGGAAAUAUUAUUUAGACCAGGAAAUAGUUAGCUCUAUUUUGUUUUGACCGUGACUCUCCACCCUCACAAUUGUUAGCCUACUUUGUUUGGGUUUGUUGGUGUUUGUGGAUGGUUUGUACUUAAGGAUACAAUUAUAUGCAUUGUGCUAUAUAUUUUGGACCUUGUUGAAUAUUAAUUUAUAUGAAUAUCAGUUAUUUUA